rnacentral:tRNA from 1 species
GCGUCAAUAGCUCAGUGGUAGAGUGUAGGAUUGCAGAUCCCGAGGUCCUCGGUUCGACCCCGAGUUGGCGCU